UACAUAGGGGGCAAGCGUUGUCCGGAUUCAUUGGGCGUAAAGAGCGUGUAGGCGGUCCGGUAAGUCCGCUGUGAAAGUCGGGGGCUCAACCCUCGAAUGCCGGUGGAUACUGUCGGGCUAGAGUGCGGAAGAGGCGAGUGGAAUUCCUGGUGUAGCGGUGAAAUGCGCAGAUAUCAGGAGGAACACCGAUUGCGAAGGCAGCUCGCUGGAACGUUACUGACGCUGAGACGCGAAAGCGUGGGGAGCAAACAGG
rnacentral:rRNA from 1 species